rnacentral:rRNA from 1 species
UACGUAGGUCCCGAGCGUUGUCCGGAUUUAUUGGGCGUAAAGCGAGCGCAGGUGGUUUAUUAAGUCUGAUGUGAAAGCCCGGAGCUCAACUCCGGAAUGGCAUUGGAAACUGGUUAACUUGAGUGCAGUAGAGGUAAGUGGAACUCCAUGUGUAGCGGUGGAAUGCGUAGAUAUAUGGAAGAACACCAGUGGCGAAGGCGGCCUUCUGGCCUUAACCUGACGCUGAGGAGCGAAAGCUAGGGGAGCAAACGGG